AGUGCUGAGAUUACAGACGUGAGCCACAGCACCCAGCCCAGCCUCUGUAAGUUACUUUCUGUGUCUACCUUAGACAUGCAAGCCUUGGAUCUCUUGCAUGUAAGAGUUCCUGGAUGCUGUUAUUGGCUUUCAAGCAUGAGAUGCUUCCCAAGAGAGCUGUUGACUUCCAGUCUGACCAAAUUCUUUCACGUCGUGGCGUGCACGAUGCCUAAACGUUUUGGAAUGUCUCUGAGAUGAUUUCUGCAGAACUCUUCACCAUGAAAAUAAAGGUCACACACAAAGAGACUGAGAAAAAGAACCACAUCAGAGAAGGAGCCAAAUACAGAAACUUGGAGAAACAGGAGGGAGUAUGAGAAUUGAAGGUGAGAAUUUAAAAUGGAGAUCUGGGCCAGGUACGGUGGCUCAUGCCUGUAAUC